CAGUCGCCACGGUAAUACGUAGGUGGCAAGCGUUGUCCGGAAUUAUUGGGCGUAAAGGGCUCGCAGGCGGUUUCUUAAGUCUGAUGUGAAAGCCCCCGGCUCAACCGGGGAGGGUCAUUGGAAACUGGGAAACUUGAGUGCAGAAGAGGAGAGUGGAAUUCCACGUGUAGCGGUGAAAUGCGUAGAGAUGUGGAGGAACACCAGUGGCGAAGGCGACUCUCUGGUCUGUAACUGACGCUGAGAAGCGAAAGCGUGGGGAGCGAACAGGAUUAGAUACCCCCGUAGUCCCUGUCUCUUAUAC
rnacentral:rRNA from 1 species